AGCCUCAGUCAACAGCCCCCUCCAGCCUCGCAGCCACCGCACAGGCCUGCUUUGCACUUGGAUUGUCCCGACCGUGUUCCUGGAACUUGGGGGUAGCAAAAGAGAUAUGCAAACAAACCGGAAUGGAAUGGCACUCGCUCAACCUCUGGGGAAAUCCGCACUCCAUAAAUGACCAAGAGGGCCCGGUACAGAAAUGCUACAUCCGUGUUCCACGGAAACCCACUUCAUUGUUCAUCACUUCAUUUUGAUUUUGUGACGACACCGGCAAAAGUUGUGUGUUUACGCUCUUGGAGGCUUUCCGAACAGGAUGUUUCUCAGUGAAAAAGUCAUGCAUCGGGGGCAAGUCUGACAUCAGGCGUUUCUUUCACGGAUCGUGCCUUUGGCGUUGGAUCUCAGGCACUCUUUGACUUGUUCUAGAUCCUGAAGGUUUUCUUCCAUAUUUUCUCUAAAAUUUUAUAGCUUCAUAUUUUACAUUUCAGUCCGUGGUCCAUUUGCAGGGUUUUUCUUUUUUGUUAUUUUGUCGUCUUGUUUUGUUUUGUUUUGUUUUUGUAUAAAAUGUGAGAAUAAAGUUGAGUUUCUUUUUUCUUUUCUUUCUUUUUUUUGCCUAUACGAUGUCUAAGUACUGCAGCACCAUUUGCUGAAAGGUUCUUUCCCCCAAAUUGUUUUUGCACCGUUUUCAAAACUCACGUAGCGGGGCACCCGGG